UCAUUUGCUGUCAAAGAACACAAAAAAUUAAAAGGGAGGUCCCCUUUCUCUGCUAGGGUUCUAGACCAGGAACGCCGCCGCCGUCACGCCUCCACUGCCCGCUGGCCGAGCCAUGCGAGGGCGUCUCCCACCUGCGCGUUGGAGCGCGUUCAGAGACCAAGGCCCUGAAAUGGGAAACGGGGAGAAAACGGAAAGCCCCUGCCCCCUCCUUAACCCACAUUCAGCAACGGCAAAGAGCCGAUGACGACGUCGGAUUCAGGGGCCGAUUCAGUCUUGGUUUGUAGGUGUCAGGAGGCUGGUGAUUGGCGAGUGGCAGCAGUGUAAGGUGGUGGGCGUGCGCAGAAGGUGGCAGCAACAACAUGCAGCUAGGGUUUUUUUUUGUGUUUGAAAGCUGGUGUAAUUUGGGCCAUUUGGGUUUAGGGUUAAUUUUGGGUAGUGGGCUAGUAUUGUAAUUUGGGCUUGUGGGUUCUGAUGGACUGUAAUUUUUUUUAUUUAUUUUUGGGUUGGUUGGUUUUGCUAGUGGGCCGGGCUGAAAAUGGGUCUUACACUUAUCACAUACAAAGCUAGACAUAGCUUUUGCAGUGAGCUUAGUGAGUCAAUUUAUGCACUCUCCAAUGGAGAAACAUGAAGAAGCAGUGUUCCGAAUUCUGAGAUACUUGAAGAGUUCACUUGGAAAGGGCUUAUUCUUCAAGAAAUCUAAACAAAGAGGAAUUGAAGCUAAUACAGAAACAGACUGGGUAGGCUCAAUAACAGACAGAAGAUCUACAUCAGGAUACUGUACAUUUGUUUGGGGAAACCUUGUGACUAGGCGAAGCAAAAAACAAAAUGUUGUAGCAAGAAGUAGUGCAGAGGCUGAGUUUAGAUGAAUGGCUCAAGGAAUUUGUGAAAUGAUGUGGUUAAAAAGAAUUAUGGAAGAGCUGCAGAAACCAAUAACUUCACCAAUGAAGUUGUACUGUGAUAGCAAAGCUGUCAUUAGUAUUGCUCACAACCCAAUCCAGCAUGAUAGAACUAAACAUGUUGAGAUUGAUAGACACUUUAUCAAGGAGAAGAUUGAAGAAGGCCAAGUGUGCAUGCCGUUUGUUCCUUCAAAACAAUAGAUUGCUGACAUACUCACCAAAGGGCUCUCUAAGACAAGUUUUGAUUUUCUUGUAAGUAAGUUGGACAUGAUUGAUAUAUAUGCACCAACUUGAGGGAGGGUGUUGAAAUAUGUGAAACGCAUAUAUUUUGGUACAUAUUUUAAAGUUAUUUAGGUAGAUAAAUCUUAUUUAGGUAGAUAAAUCUUAAAAUAAAUCAUUUGGGAUAUUCUAAGAAUAUUUUAUUUUA